UACGGAGGGAGCUAGCGUUGUUCGGAAUUACUGGGCGUAAAGCGCACGUAGGCGGCUUUUCAAGUUAGGGUUGAAAGCCUGGAGCUCAACUCCAGAAUGGCCUUUAAGACUGCAUCGCUCGAAUCCGGGAGAGGUGAGUGGAAUUCCGAGUGUAGAGGUGAAAUUCGUAGAUAUUCGCAAGAACACCAGUGGCGAAGGCGGCUCACUGCACCGGUAUUGACGCUGAGGUGCGAAAGCGUGGGGAGCAAACAGG
rnacentral:rRNA from 1 species